GAUGAACGCUAGCUACAGGCUUAACACAUGCAAGUCGAGGGACCGGCGCACGGGUGAGUAACACGUAUCCAACCUGCCCUUUACUCGGGGAUAGCCUUUCGAAAGAAAGAUUAAUACCCGAUAUAAAGGAUGGGGAUGCGUUCCAUUAGGUUGUUGGUGAGGUAACGGCCCACCAAGCCUUCGAUGGAUAGGGGUACUGAGAGGAAGGUCCCCCACACUGGAACGGGGACACGGUCCAAACUCGUGCGGGAGGCAGCAGUGAGGAAUAUUUGUAAAUGGGCGUUAGCCUGAACCACCAAAGUAGCGUGAAGGAUGAAGGCUUAUGGGUCGUAAACUUCUUUUAUAUAAGAAUAUGUAUUAUAUGAAUAAGGAUCGGCUAACUCCGUACCAGCAGCCGCGGUAAUAC
rnacentral:rRNA from 1 species